GCCAUACCCUGCCUACCCCCAUUCACGUCUGCCGGUUAAACCUUUUUUUCUGUGUUUCCUCGUCUCCACGGCGUCCCUUGCAACAGAGCCCUUGUAUACGAGUACCUGCAAUUACCUGGUACCUGCAGGGACAGUCAAACACUCUCCAGAUAAGGGAGUGACUGGUGCCAGCUGAUCACUUCACUACCAACGAGAAAACUACAAGCUAGGGAAACGAUCGCAGCCACGUGAUGACAGACGACCCAGCUGAUGCCUCGGAUUCUGUCAGGAGUCGUCAACAGCAGCUAAUGUCUAAUGGGCGGCUGGCGGGCAGGUAACAGCAGGUAACUAGCAAUCAGGAGCAUAGUGGCGGCGAGUAUCACACCUGCCAUCACCUCCCAUCAAGCCUCCCCGGCCCAGGUGUCUUAUUCAUAUUAUCGAUUGAAACUUAAGAAAAUAUACAAGGUAUGCCCCGAGUGGACGCCCGCCUCAUUGUUGCCCAGGGACACCUUGUACGUGACUCACCUGUGCUGUUUACCUGUGCCCACCAGGGUAAACAUGGCCAGCUGAUGAUGCAGUGUCCGGUGCUGCCCACAGACUCACCCAGACAAGAAGUUCCCUACCUUCGCUCAGUGACAACCCUGAAAUGUCAUGAUAAGUUUAAACAGCGUUAACAGUGAUGAAUAUAGAACGAGUUAAUAGGGGAAAGUUAUUUGUGAGAAGUGUAAAGGAGGAAUAAGAAGAGGAGUAAGAAGUAAGAAGUAAGAAGAGGAGAAUAUACGAAAUGGAUGUAGAGAUGGAGGAGGAGAAGGAAAAGAAGAGGGAAAUUAUUGUGUGAUAUAUGUAGAAAAGAAGGAGGAGGAGGAAUAGAAAUAGGAGGAGAAGGAAAGAAUAGCUUGGGAUGAGUGUAGAAGAAGAAAAGGAGGAGGAACAAGGAACAGGAGUAGAAGGGAAAAAAAAGUCUUCGUCAUUGUAAAAGAGGAGAAGAAAGAAGGGAAAGAGGAAUAGGAGUAGUAGUAAGAGAAGGGAAAAAAGAGUGUGUGUGUGAGAUGAAUGUAGAAGAGGAGAAGGAGGAAUAAAUAGCAAAAUUAAGAAAGUAGAUGGGAAAAUAAAAGAAAAUGUGAGUGAUAUAAAACUUGGAGAUGAAAGAAAAUGAGGAGGAGAGGGAGAAGAAAGAGUUACGAAUGUAGGAGAUAGGGAAAAAUAAAAUAAAAGCAGGAAUAACGUAAAAAUUGGAGAUAAAAAAAAGUAAUGAAUAAAAUAAGUGAAAAAGCAGAAAAAAGGAAAACAGUAAAUAUGAAUAAACAGAGACAACAAGAAAUGGAAAUAAAUACAAAAAAAGGACAUUGGGAGAUGACACACGAUCUAAUAAAUAAGGAAUAACGAAUAACAGAAAUAAAUAACAGGAAGUAGAAGAAAAUAGAAAAAAAGAAAACACAUUAAGGAAAACAGUUAGUGAAGGUCGAUAAUAAAAUUUUACUACUUUCCUCAUUGGCUGAUUAGUUUCCUUAGCUUCUUUCUGAUUGGCUGGUUGAUUUGUGAGCUCUUCUGUGAUUGGUCCAUAAUAAUAACAAAGAAAAGCAAAUGACAGUAACAAGAAGAAAAGAGCAUGAAUAAGAAAAGAAGAAGAAGAAGAGGGAGAAGAGGAAGAAGAAGAAGGAGAAAAAGAAAAGCAGAGAAGAAAAAGAAUAAGAUAAACAAGAGCAAGAAAAAGAAAGAAAAAUGAAGAAGAGGAGGAAGAGAAAGAGAAAUAGGAGGAAGAAGAAGAAGAAAAGGAGGGAAAGAAGGAAGGAGUGAACUUGAACAAUUUAAAGAAAAAAAAACAAGAGAAAGAGAAAUAACAAGAAGAUAAAGAAGGAAAAUAACAACAAACAACCACCACCAUCAUCAACAACAACAACAACAACAACAACAACAACAACAACACAGCCCACAAAAAGAUAACGACAUGAAAAUUUAGGAAACCUUUAAAAAUCGUGACCAAAACCACGCCAUAGAACAGUGAUACAUACCGGAGGUCGU